rnacentral:rRNA from 1 species
CAGCCGCCGCGGGAAUACGUAGGUGGCAAGCGUUGUCCGGAAUUGUUGGGCGUAAAGGGCUCGCAGGCGGUUUCUUAAGUCUGAUGUGAAAGCCCCCGGCUCAACCGGGGAGGGUCAUUGGAAACUGGGAAACUUGAGUGCAGAAGAGGAGAGUGGAAUUCCACGUGUAGCGGUGAAAUGCGUAGAGAUGUGGAGGAACACCAGUGGCGAAGGCGACUCUCUGGUCUGUAACUGACGCUGAGGAGCGAAAGCGUGGGGAGCGAACAGGAUUAGAUACCCCUGUAGUCCCUGUCUCUUAUAC